UGAGGAAUAUUGGUCAAUGGACGAGAGUCUGAACCAGCCAAGUAGCGUGAAGGAUGACUGCCCUAUGGGUUGUAAACUUCUUUUAUAUGGGAAUAAAGUUUUCCACGUGUGGAAUUUUGUAUGUACCAUAUGAAUAAGGAUCGGCUAACUCCGUGCCAGCAGCCGCGGUAAUACGGAGGAUCCGAGCGUUAUCCGGAUUUAUUGGGUUUAAAGGGAGCGUAGGUGGACAGUUAAGUCAGUUGUGAAAGUUUGCGGCUCAACCGUAAAAUUGCAGUUGAUACUGGAUAUCUUGAGUGCAGUUGAGGCAGGCGGAAUUCGUGGUGUAGCGGUGAAAUGCUUAGAUAUCACGAAGAACUCCGAUUGCGAAGGCAGCUCACUGGACUGCAACUGACACUGAUGCUCGAAAGUGUGGGUAUCAAACAGG
rnacentral:rRNA from 1 species